GACGAACGCUGGCGGCGUGCCUAAUACAUGCAAGUCGAGCGGAUGAGAAAGGAGCUUGCUCCUUUCGAUUCAGCGGCGGACGGGUGAGUAACACGUGGGCAACCUGCCUGUAAGACUGGGAUAACUCCGGGAAACCGGGGCUAAUACCGGAUAAUUCAUGAGACUGCCUAGUCUGAUGAUAAAAGAUGGUUCUGCUAUCACUUACAGAUGGGCCCGCGGCGCAUUAGCUAGUUGGUGAGGUAACGGCUCACCAAGGCGACGAUGCGUAGCCGACCUGAGAGGGUGAUCGGCCACACUGGGACUGAGACACGGCCCAGACUCCUACGGGAGGCAGCAGUAGGGAAUCUUCCGCAAUGGACGAAAGUCUGACGGAGCAACGCCGCGUGAGCGAUGAAGGCCUUCGGGUCGUAAAGCUCUGUUGUUAGGGAAGAACAAGUAUGAGUUAACUGCUCAUACCGUGACGGUACCUAACGAGAAAGCCACGGCUAACUACGUGCCAGCAGCCGCAGUAAUACGUAAGUGGCAAGCGUUGUCCGGAUU
rnacentral:rRNA from 1 species